rnacentral:misc_RNA from 1 species
UGCUGAACUAGUGGCACAAAGAAAUUUGGCAUAGGAGCACCUCCUGGCCUCAUUCCAGGAACAAGUUGUUGCUGAUAUCCAAAACCAGCCUGGGGAGGAAUUAUGCCUGGAGGUGCUUGCCCAUAUAAAAAUUGCUGACCUAAGCCUGGAGCACCUGGAGAAUAUAUUGGCAUACGGGGAGCAACUGAAGGUGUCAUGGCAACUGGCCUCAUCUGUGAAAACUGAGCCUGAAGUCUCGCCCUUCUCUCUUCCUUCCGUUGCGCAAGUGCAACAUACAGUGGCUUGCUAACCACCAUUUUGCCAUUCAUCUCAGAAAGAGCUCGAGAUGCUUCCUCAGGAGUUGAAAAGGCAACAAAACCAGAACCUCUGCUAAUUCCACUGGGAUCACGCAUAACCUUGCAUGAAGUAAUUGUUCCAAAGUCAGAAAACAGUUCCUUCAGCUUCUCAUCAUUGAUGCUAUCAUCCACAUUCUUGAUAUACAAAUUCACCCCUUGGAAUUUGUCUACAGCUUCCUUCAUGCUUUGCUCAAACCGACUCUUCAGUUCAAACUCUCUUUCAGAUUUUUUCUGUGCUUUUCCAACAUACCACUCCUUAUCAUCAAACUUAUUUCCAUUAAGAGACUCAACAGCUUUAGCAGCAUCAUCAGCAUUUUCAAAGUUGACAAAUCCAAAACACUUUGAUUUCCCAUCUGCAUCUCUCAUAACUACAGCACUAGUAAUUGCGCCAUAUUCGCCAAAAAUAUUCUUCAAAUCCUCAUCCGUUGUUGAUUCAGAUAAAUUUUUCACGAAGACAUUAUUAAAUUUUGUCUUAUUCAAUGCACCAUCUCUAUCCUGCUUACGAAGGAAGUGUCCAACAAAAACUUGUUUAUCAUUAAGUAGCAUGCCAUUCAAUUUAUCUAUAGCAUUUUGAGCAGAUUCUUCAUUGUCAAAUUGUACAAAACCAUAGCCUCUGGACUGGCCAGAAGCAUCAGUAGCCACCUUGCAAGAAAGAAUGUUGCCAAAUGACGAAAACGUAUCAUGUAAGGCUUUGUGAUCAAUAGACUUAUCGAGGUUCUUGAUAAAAAUAUUUCCUGUCCCACUCUUACGAAGACUUGGGUCCCGAUGAG